rnacentral:tRNA from 1 species
AAGGCUUUAAGUUAAGUAAACUAAUAUCCUUCAAAGCUAUUAAUAAAGAUUGAUGUCUUUAAGCCUUA